rnacentral:lncRNA from 1 species
CUCCCAUUCCCGACAUGGCCGUGGGGGUGCGUUAGGGCGCUGUAAGGCCUCUCCCCCCAUCCGGUCUAAAAGAACCGGGCCUUUGACUUUGCUCAUGUCAGGACGAGGUCCUCCUUCUGUUCCUGACAUAGCUGUGGGGGCACAUUAGGGUGCUGUAAGGCCUCUCCCCCCAUCCGGUCUAAGAGAACCGGGCCUUUGACUUUGCUCAUGUCAGGACG